rnacentral:lncRNA from 1 species
GUUUGCUCCCAGAAAUGAUCUGCUGCUCCCUUCGAGGGAACAAAAUGGCACCACUCAGCACAAGCCAAGGGAGCUCGAUUACAUCAUUUUUUUUUUUUUUUUUAAUGAUCGCUCUCCCAGCUCCUGCAGUGCAGAGGAGGGGGAGAUGCUUCAGAGCAGGGAUUCUCUGCCACCCUGUCAAAGGGACAGGGCAUCCUACCCCCUUUUCCCAAGGAUGGCUGCCGGGGUGUGAAGCUGGGGUGUGCACACAGGUCUGCCCAGGGCUGUAAUUCAGAGCAGUGCCCUGUGCCGCCGGGUGCUGUGUGCCUGGGGCAGUAACUCUGCUGCCUGGAAGGGUCAGCACUCAGCCUGCCCAGGGAACUCCCCACAGUGCUGCGAGGAGAAGCUCUGGGUGAGAGGGGCGACCCCCGGCAGGGCAGGUUCAUUCUCCCAUCAAGCAGGUGCUGCAUGGGUCAGGGCUGCCCACAGCUCUAGCCCACCAUAAGGACAUUUUGAGAGUGGAGUUUUCAGGAGGACUUGUCUCUGCAGAGUGGGAAUGGAAAUGCAGUACUCAGGUUUAAAAAAGGGGCUAAACAUCUUCACCAGCACACUGAAGGAUGAAUAGGUUUGCAAGGAACCUCAUCAAGUGCCUUCAGCACCCCUCAGCCUACAGACAGCACCAACAUCACCUUGCCAGUCUCAUGGGAGAUUCUCUGAUGUGCUCUUUAGCACCUGCAAAGAGGGAGAUGCCCYCGGGAAGUUUCCUGCUGCUUGGAGGUUUCUGUAGGGCUGAGCUGAGUGGGAUGGAGUCUGUGUGAGGACAGAGGAGCAGCUCCCAGCAAGGACAUCUCUAAGCAGCAGAGAGAUGGUCCGAGAGCGAGAGGAAACUGCUACCAGAAACCUCAUGCGAGGCUGGGAUGCAGGAAAUUCUCUGCCAGCCCUGCCUUUAAGACACUUGACCCUUCCUGUGGUGUGCUGCUGGGCUGCAUGCUGCCCUCCAGAGGGGCACAGCUCUGCUGUAUGACAAUCGUGAGAGCUGAAUGUCCCAUGCAGAAGCCACAGAGGUGCUAAGGAAAUGGAAAUGCUGCUGGGGGUGGCUGUGUGGGGGCAGCUGAAAUAAGCACUGUGUGUCUUUGUCUAGAAACGGGGUGUUGAGUUCUCUCUCCGUACCAGAGCCAAGUCACAGAGUCCUUCUUCUGAUCAUCRGAGCCAUGUGCUAUGUCACACCCUCUCCAUCACUCUUGGAAUAUCUGAGCUGAGAAAGGGAGGUGAGUUUGGAGAUCUGUGCUU